rnacentral:rRNA from 1 species
CCUACGGGAGGCAGCAGUGAGGAAUAUUGGUCAAUGGCCGGAAGGCUGAACCAGCCAAGCCGCGUGAAGGACGAAGGUGCCAAGCGUUGUAAACUUCUUUUGUCAAGGGACAAAAUCAGACUCGAGAGCCUGACCGAGGGUACUUGAAGAAAAAGCAUCGGCUAACUCCGUGCCAGCAGCCGCGGUAAUACGGAGGAUGCGAGCGUUAUCCGGAUUUAUUGGGUUUAAAGGGUGCGUAGGCGGGCUGUUAAGUCAGCGGUAAAAGCCCGGGGCUCAACCCCGGCGAGCCGUUGAAACUGGUUGGCUAGAGAUGUCGAGCGGUAUGCGGAAUGUGUAGUGUAGCGGUGAAAUGCUUAGAGAU